rnacentral:rRNA from 1 species
AGAGUUUGAUCAUGGCUCAGGAUGAACGCUAGCUACAGGCUUAACACAUGCAAGUCGAGGGGCAGCAUGAACUUAGCUUGCUAAGUUUUGAUGGCACCGGCGCACGGGUGAGUAACACGUAUCCAACCUGCCGAUGACUCGGGGGAUAGCCUUUCGAAAAGAAAGAUUAAUACCCGAUGGCAUAGUUCUUCCGCAUGGUGGAACUAUUAAAGAAUUUCGGUCAUCGAUGGGGAUGCGUUCCAUUAGGUUGUUGGCGGGGUAACGGCCCACCAAGCCUUCGAUGGAUAGGGGUUCUGAGAGGAAGGUCCCCCACAUUGGAACUGAGACACGGUCCAAACUCCUACGGGAGGCAGCA